rnacentral:lncRNA from 1 species
CCCAUGUCAGUGCAACAAAAUCUGUCUUGUGUGCUUGUUUUGGUUGAACCAAAUGAUAUACGAUGACACAUUUUAUGAACUGUAUAUGUCUUGUCCUCUGUUGUCACGCAUCGGUCAUGGCCAUAUCUAAAAGUAUUAACAAACCAUGUGUGUCUUACAUUUUUUUUAUCAGUACGUAUCAUUUUAUAUUGCUACUAUCUGCCCAGUGCCCACCUAUUUUCC